GUGAUCUCAGCUCACUGCAACCUCCACCUCCUGGGCUUAAGUGAUCCUCCUGCCUCAGCCUCCCAAGUAGCUGGUUAAUUCCUAAAUACUAGUUUUUAAUAUGGUCUUCUGGUAAGUCAGAUUAUACCUGGGGAACCCCCAUAGCGGAUAUGAAACACAGUUCACUUCCUCACAUCUGCUCAUUCAGCCUGUUUAGAUUCAUGUAUCAGAAGGAGGCCCUGCAGAGCAUGAUGUUCAUGCCCAGGCGUUGGUAGAGGGUAUGGUUUAAUGGACUUCGUAUGGUCCAGACGCUGUGAUCCCUGUCCUUGCUGUCUGCUCAGCGAAUCUGGCCUAGCUCCUGUACCCUGGGAUUCACAUGAAUCUCCAGGGAUAUAACUUCUCAACUCAUAGGCCCUUGGCUGCUAUUCAAAAUGAGUUAAGCCAGAAGGAAAUUGAUGUCUGCUCCAUGGUCUCUUCCCACUUCCUGCGUUCCCCACAUCAGCCUCCAUACGAGCCUCUCAUUUCCUCCUCAUAUCAGGGAAGAUAUGGAAGUGUUGCCCAGUGGCUGAAGGGGACUAUUUGGGGACAGUACCCUCCACAUCACUUCCCAUUUUCACUUUAUCACAGGCAGGCCAGCUGAGUCAGAUAUGUGGGUUCUGCAGAUAAAAGGUGUGCCUUUCUAGCUCUGUGAUUCUGAGCAGACUGCCUCACCUCCCAGCCCUCAGUGUCCUUGUCCACUCAAUGGAGGAACUGCAGCACCUCCCGGUUGUGGAGACAGUGUCUGGCCCAGGAUAUGUCCCAGCAAGAAUGCAUUGUUGCUACGACCAGUAUCAUUGCCAUUGCCUUGUUCCUCAGUUUCUCAUCCACCUCCCUGCCCAGCCUUCCAGAUGUUCAGGGGCAUGUAGGAACCUUCUAGCUUGGCCUCAAGAGAGGACUUCGCUGCAGGCGUCCCAGAACGAAAAGACAUGUGACUGGUGCAAGAGCUUCAUGGGAGCCUCACCCUCGUGGGAGUAGGAUUGAGGGUGAGGUGUCAUGGUUUGACCAAAUUUCCAAGGGGAGUUUAAUCAGAAGACUGUUUACAAAGGACGCAGGAAAUGGAGGGUCUUUGGACCUUCCUGUGAUCAGGCCCUGCUCCACCACUAUGGACCUUUAAUUUUUCCAUGUUCAUGACUCCUUAUCUUUCAUUAGCUGUGUGACUUUGUGCAAAUUCCUUAACUUCUUAAACCUUUAAACUCUUUGUCACUGUCUGCCUAGAGGUGUUAGGAUUCAGUGGCACAGUGCACAUGCAGCAGGUGACAGUCAUCUGCAUGUAGCACUCCUGUGAACACGUGCGUGUGUAGGUGUGUGACUUGUAUUUUAUCUCCCACAGAGUCAAAAAUCUAACUGCUGUUUUGUGAAUUUUCCUUGUCACAUACCUAAACCGUCGUUCAUUGACCUUAAAAGUGGAGAGUAGAAUGGUGGUUGCCAGAGGCUGGGGAGCGCAGGGGUGGAUGGCUGAUGAGAGGUUAGUCAGCAAGGACAAAGUUGCAGUUGGGAGGAAUGAGUCCCAGCGCUCCAUUGCACAGUAACACAAGUUGGUUAACAAUAAUAGGUCAUGUGUCUCAUGAUAGCUGGCCAAUGAGGAUCCACUACGGUAUUUGCAUUUCAUGGAUUUACUUCCAACAGGCAUGAAAACUGAGUGAAGCCGACCACCAGGUGGCGCUGGGAAGCACUUAAUGUUCCAGUGCAUCUGCGACUCUUAACAGGAGAUGGCAGGCUUUUACUGUCUGAUUUUAAGGCGUCUUCAACUUUGUACAGUCACAGUGAGGAAGGAAGCAAUGGAUAGUAAAAAUAAGCAAACACUGGGCAAUUGCAGAGCUUAAAAAGUGUCACAGAGGUUAUGCAGCCUCAUUCUUGAGCAGUAUUUCCCAGUUCCCUUUUCAGAUGGUAAUUGAUAACUCGGUCCCUCUUUUCUGUUCAUCCUGAGUGGAGCUGACAAGCCGUCGCCUUCCUCGGUUCCCUGCUUUUCUCUAGGAAAUGUGACUUCUGUGUAAGUUCUUCCCCAGUCUGGGGCCUGGAGAUAAAGGUCCAUAGAGGAUGUGUAAACGUGUGCCCUUAAGGCACCCUCUGCGUCAAAUGAUUGCGGGCAUCUCUCCUGACUUUAAGACUGGGAGAUACUCAGACACUCGUUUCAGUAGCUGCUUCUCCUCUUUGGCACUUACUUUUAUUUGAAUGGAAAAUCCAAGGAUAAGUGGCAAUCAAGGCUUAAAAAGCUGGAAACAGAUUCGGGAGGUGUGGAUGGGCAUCAGAUGGGCAUCAAGGUGCAAGAGACCUUAGGGAGGAUGGCAGGGGCUCACUGACUGAUGGCAGGGACUCGCUGACUGAUGGCAGUUUAUGUUUGAUUGUUCUGAGAAACUGCAAACUGUUUCCGAAAGUGCACAGGCUUACAGUCUCAUCAGCAAUGUGCGAAGUUCCAGUUUCUCCGCACCCUCGCCAGCAUUAGUUUUGGUCUGCCCCUGUUGUUGUUACAGCUGUUUUAGUGGGUAUUAAAUGGUGUCUCAUUGUGGAUUUAAUUACAAUUCCUUACUGCCUAAUGAUCUGAGCAUCUUUUCAUGUGCUUAUUGGCCAUUUGUAUGGCUUUUGUGAAAUCCCCCGUGGCAUUCCUAUGAGUUCACUGUGGUGCCGCAGGGUGACUAUGUGCACAGUCUUAGAACUGUGCAUUUAGACACUAUUUGUUGUGCACAGUCUUAGAACUGUGCAUUUAGACACUAUUUGUUAGUUCCCAACUUUAAUCAAUGAUAAAAUUUGCAUUUUAGCAUAUUUUUAUUUCUCCGUCUUUUCUCUUUCUUCCAUUUCUCCGUUUCUUCACACAGACAUCUAAUAUGCACCUUAAACUUUAUGUGUCUGAAACAAUGCUUCAAGCACAACCCCAGCUCUCCAACGAGCUUUCUUUAUUGUUAUUCCUUAGUUUUAAAGAUGAGGAAGACUGGGUCUUGCCCUUAAACACCCAAGUUGAAAUGGGACAGGCAAGCAUGUGGAGGUGAUCACAGUACAGUGACAUGUGACUGGCUCUGGCUGGGUUUGGGCACAUUUUCAUUUUAUAUCAUGAAAUUGAUCAAGACCCUGCGUCUUCAUUGUAUUUCCUUUUUCUUGUUAUGCAGCAUAUUUUUACAAGACUGGAUUCUUUCACGUACCCAUACACUGGGGCAAAUCAACUAUCCAGACCUAGGUUAGCAACAUUAGAUGAUGUGACAUCCACCGUGCCGUGGUCAUUGUCACUCCUGGUUGGAUUCUGCCCUGGGCAGAGAGGGCUAGUGGGUGUGACUCUAGGCCCAGUUUCCAUGGCCUGGCAGUCCUCACUAGGAGGCCAGUGCUGGACUGGAAGCCUGUCUUCACCAACUGGUUUCUGGUGCUUUGAACACAUGGAGAUCAAGGAAAACUACAAUUUUUAGUGUGCAUUUCUGUCACAUGUGGCCUCUGUCACUUAGAAUUAUAUCCAUGCUCCAACACCAAUCCCUCCCUAACAUUAGCUAGUUCUAACACGAUGCUUUCUGUGUGCCAGGUACUAUUCUAUAAGUAUGUUACACAUUUUAACUCAGUCUUCACAGAAAGGUAGGAUUUACCAUGAUUUCCAUUUUAUAGAUGAAAUAACCAAGGAAUAGAGAAGUUAAGUAAAUUGCCCACAAAUACUCAGAUAGUAAAGUGAUGUAAGUAGAAUUUGACUCGGGAAAUCUGGCUUCAGAGGCUGGGCUCUUAGUUACACACCAUGUGGGAAACGGUUAACUAUGCACUCUUUAUGUUGAAAUUAAUCUUUUUAAACUAUGUAAAUAAGAGGGUGAUUCUUGGUGUUGAUCUCCUGAGAAGAUAGGACAUAUUCCACCCCCCAGGACUGGCAUGUGGCCCAGUGGCAGUGCCAGAACCUUUGAACACACAGCUCUAUUCCAUGUGACACCAGUGGAAAACGAAGCAUUUCUUGGCAGUGUUGAUGAGUAUUUGGAUGAAAAAAACAGAAGAGCUCAUUAAACCUGUAAAACUCUGUUCCAGAGGUGACCAGCAUUACUUCCCCUGGGAAAUCACUGAAGAACAGUUACCCUGAGACACAGAUUGGGCCGAUACUGAGGAGACCUCCGACCCAAAGGAAAUAGACUGCAGCAGUGAUCAGCCAACUUUGGAGUUAAGAAAACUUUUAAGCUAUUUAUAACUUUUAACAAUAGAGUCAAGUAUAUUUCUGAGAACAAAAUUUGGAGCAUAUUCGUUUCUCUCUACCUGAUAUCUUCAGAAUUUGGAAAC